GGAUGCGAUCAUACCAGCACUAAAGCACCGGAUCCCAUCAGAACUCCAAAGUUAAGUGUGCUUGGGCGAGAGUAGUACUAGGAUGGGUGACCUCCUGGGAAGUCCUCGUGUUGCAUUCC
rnacentral:rRNA from 1 species